GACGAACGCUGGCGGCGUGCUUAACACAUGCAAGUCGAACGCUGAAGCACGAGCUUGCUGGGGUGGAUGAGUGGCGAACGGGUGAGUAAUACGUGAGUAACCUGCCCUUCACUCUGGGAUAAGCCCGGGAAACUGGGGCUAAUACCGGAUACGACAUGUCACCGCAUGGUGGGGUUUGGAAAGGGUUUACUGGUCGUGGAUGGGCUCACGGCCUAUCAGCUUGUUGGUGAGGGAAUGGCUCACCAAGGCGACGACGGGUAGGCGGGCCGAGAGGGUGAACGGCCACCCUGGGAACGGGAACACGGCCCGACUCCCACGGGGGGGCAGCGGGGGGAAUAAUGGCCAAAGGGCGAAAGCCUGAUGCAAGGACGCCGCGUGGGGGAUGACGGGCUUCGGGUUGUAAACCUUUUUCCGCCGGGAAGAAGCCACAAGUGACGGUACCUGCAGAAGAAGCGCCGGCUAACUACGUG
rnacentral:rRNA from 1 species